GUUCCACUGAGUUUUCCAUUCUAGUAUCUGAACCAAAGAGGAACAAAUGGCUUUCAGACCAGUGUCCAUAUUUUGGGUGCGUAUGAAAAAGGAAUCUACAAUCUUCUUUAUGUCUGCCCUUCACAAUGGCAAAAGCUAAAAGGUGAGACCUGUUCUUAGUGAAAUGUUUCCUGGUGUUCCAUGACAUGCUUUCUUGUGUUGGCCUGGGUUCGUUAUUGCAGUUUGUGGAUGAGAGGUGGGGACAGCUCAUCUCACCUUUGAUGUUACCUGUAUUUUCAAAAAUGCUCAAAUUUCUGAAGGCACAAAGUUCAUUUGAGAAAAACUGCUAUCCCUUGCCAAGCAGGGGAAGGCACACUGACUAACCACCAUGGGUGAUAAGAAGGAACUGGGAGAGCAUAGGGCCGGCGGCGCCUGAUAUACCGCUGCAUAACCGGAGGGCACCACAGCCGACCCUACCGAUACCGCUAAGGCAAAAUCUCCGACGACUGCGCACUUGGGCGCGUCCACACCUAGAAUGGAAUGAACAUGAGCAACACAUCUCAAAGAACAACAAUUACAAAAGAACAAGAGUGCAAACCAAAUCCCUACUUGAAAAUUCCAUUGGAAAGAACAUAGCCCUGGAUUCUGCGUUCCAUCCACCUGCCCUUGGAUACGGCAGGGGACUGGAGGGAGCUGAUCGUGAUUCCCUGACUGAGGAUCACCUUGCCCCAGGGCAAGUUCGAACCAUUAGAAGGAGGAGAAUAUCAACACUCUGCUCCCCCAUGCCCCUUUCCUUCCCAUCCCACCCAUGGCCCUACCCCGGUAUGUCCCCACUGCACCCCCUCCUUGACUUUUUUGGGGGGGCAGGGGAACUGGAGCAGGAGCUGCCUCUGUUAACUAUCACUGGAAAAGUUCCCUUGUGUAGGGGAAAUUCUCCAGACAGUUUAAUGCCACUUUGCAUCAUGUAUGGAGGACAAAGUGGGCUGAGCAGAGAAUCCAGUCUGUAAUGGACACAAACAAAAAGCACGGAGACUGGUGCACUAUUUUUCAGUUACUGCCUAAACUAGAAUAUUUUUUGAUGAAAAUAAAGCACAAAAUGCAUUUCCAAA